AAGGGGAGCUAGAAGCGAGCGUAUCUCGAAUGUAACACUCCAGUGCCGACGUCGUCUUCGCUUUGGACUCCGUCUCCGACACCCUCUUCCUCUGCAACUGCCUAUGCUUUCUGUGGUGCGACCUUUUUGCCUCCACUAUGCCUCCAUGGCGGGUUCAGCUGCUGAGGCUUGAGUCUCGGGGCACUCAACACAAUUAUCACAAUUUUGCUUACUCAGCUCGUCAUCCUAUUCGCCGGGCAAUUCCCCCACGGAUUGGCCCAAUCUCGCCCCGCAUCUAAGCGGAGCUACUCCAGCAACUGAAAACCAACCAGCACGCCAACAUCUUCGCAGCUACCGCCAGGCGAUAAGGUCUUAAAUAAGCAGUGACUUCCUCACUUGCGGGUGGAAUGGAAUGUAAUAGUUGGGAAUGGC
ensembl:ncRNA lncRNA:CR45047 long non-coding RNA:CR45047